CUGGGAUUGCAGGCAUAUGCCACCAUGCCCAGCUAAUUUUGUGUUUUUGGUAGAGAUGGGGUUUCUCCGUGUUGGUCAGGCUGGUCUCGAACUCCCAACCUCAGGUGAUCUGCCUGCCUCAGCCUCCCAAAGUGCUGGGAUUACAGGCGUAAGCCACAGCGCCCAGCCAUGCCCUGCAUUUUUACAAAUUCCUUGGUGUUUUGAGGUGCAUCCUCCAUAGUGUGGUAAAACCUUGGCAUCAUAAAACUUUGGUUAGACAGAAAUUAAUUAGAACACUUCAUUUAAAAGAAUUUCUUUGAUGCAUCAACUUCUUUCCUCUCAGCUCCAAAUCUCUGCACUGCUCUGUUCUGUGAUGCUGGAGCUGGGCCCUGUAAACAUUUCUCCUUUGCAGCUGGCAGAAUGUUAAGCUUUGUCUACAGGGCUGGGAGGCCACUGCAGGAGGAAAGUGCUUCUCUCUUCUUUGUUCCCAUGUGAUUUUCCUUCUCUUGGGGUACUUGGCAGCCAGUGGGUGCAGGAAUCCCAAAAGUGCUCAGCUGCCCAGGGAGUCUCACAGGCAACCCGGAAGGUGGUUUCUUGCAUCCUGACGCUGACUUGCAGAACCUCGGUGAACUUCUUUACCAUCUAGGAGGUGAUAGCUACAUCCGAGUGAAGUGACUCCAGUGAAGUCAGUCUUGAAGAGAGGGCUCUUCCGAAUUUGUUCCUUCCUUGGGUACUCAGCCAUAGCCCUGGGGCAAGCAUUCUCAGUGGGGGUGAAAAUUGGUUUUUGUGGGGGUAGGGAGUGUGUGUGAAAUAAUCUUAGGUUAUUCCUCCAAAGGGCCACAGUAGACACACAGAUAUACUGUGUACCUGUAGAAUUAAGGUUUCAUGGGGAUGUAGGGACAGGUGGUGAUAAGGGGCAAAAAAUAUCUAAAAAUAUCUCCUUACAGGGGCAAAUUUCUUUUUAUAAGUUGAGAAACUCUGGUCUAGAGAGUAGCAGCUGCUCUUUAUAUCCACCAUUCUUGUAUUCUUAAGAGUUAUGUUUAUCCCUUAGUAGUUAAUCCCAUUUCUAGUUAAUAUACUUUCAAUUUUCCCUGUUGGACUUACUGUGUGAUUGUCUUCUGGCUGGACCUUGACUGAUACAGUGCACUUGACUUUUAUGGAAAAAAGGCAAAUAAUAAUUGAAAAUAUGCUAAAAUCAAAGGCUUGAAUUUUUAAAAUUCUAGGACAUUGUCUUUUUUUUGUUGUUUUUGAGAUGCAGUCUUGCUCUGUUGCCCAGGCUGGAGUGCAGUGGCAUGAUCUGGGCUCACUGCAACCUCCGCCUCCUGGGUUCAAGCGAUUCUCCUGCUUCAGCCUCCUGAGUAGCUGGGACUACAGGCACUUGCCACCACCCCCAGCUAAUUUUUGUAUUUUUAUUAGAGACGGGGUUUCACCAUGUUGGCCAGGAUGGUCUCAAUCUCUUGACCUCAUGAUCUGCCCACCUCGGCCUCCCAAAGUGCUAGGAUUACAGGCGUGAGCCACCGUGUCCAGCCCUCUAGGACAUUUUCUAUAGCCUGUAGAGCUCAAUCCCCAGCUACUUACAUCUUGCACAGUUUGGAAUGAUGACAUUGGGACCAUGACAGAUGAUGAAUGGCCAAAGUUAGGUUGCUAGUCUGUACUAGCCUUUCACUAGUACAAUGCAUUCUAUAUGGAUACUGAACACAUUUUUCGUUUAUAACUAUUUUAUAAAGUUCUUAUAAAUGCUAAGCUCCAUAAUAACAAUAAUAAUAAUAAUAAUAAUAAUCAUCAUCAUCAUCAUCAUCAUCAUAACUAACAUUUAUUGGGCACUUACUAUGUGCCAGCACUAAUCUAAGCUCUAUCACUCUGGUAACAGGGCUGCAAAUGAAUGGGAAAAAGCUGAAAAUACAUAAGCCAGGAAGCCAGUUAGGAGGUUGCUAUAAAAUUCCAGGUAUGAGAUGACAGUGGCUUGGACUAGGGUGAUAGCACGGAGAUAGCAUGCUGUUGGCUUAGUAAGGCCCAGAGCAGAAAGAGCUUUCUAUCCUCUUCAGCCACAAAACAGUCUGUAGCAGAGGGGUCAUUCAAUCCACUUACCAGAGAAACAGGGCUAGAGAAAGAAACAAAAUUUAUUUGUUAAGUUCCUAUAAUAUGGCCAGUACUGUGUUACACAACAUUAGGGGUACCAACAAUAAUCAUAUAUUUAUGAGUACCUUAUGACUUGGUGGAAGAUAUUUCACGCCAACAAGGAAUUCAAACCCAGAAUAUACAAUAGUGCUCCUUAUCUGCAGGGGAUACAUUCCAAACUUUGCCAAGUGUAUGGAUACCCUUGUAAACUCAAUUCCAUAAACCAAAGCCUAAAUACGGCCUCAUUUAUGAAACUAGAAGUGCAGUGUAAAACCAAGAAUAAAGAGAUUGCAGUGUCAGAUCAGUGACCCUAGCGUGGUUAUUUCGUUCACCAUGAAUAUUAAAACAUGAAUCUAAAGGUAACAAAAAACCUUCUAUAAUUUUAAUUUGGCUGGUUCUUUUGAAAACAUUCUUUAUAGUAUAGUUCGGUUUGUAAUUUCAUCAAGUAUUAAUCUAGGAACUCAAAAGGAAGGAAACAGAAUGCCACUUAGCCUUAGCUACAAGUAGGACCUACUCAUAAAGAAAACACACUUCAGCUCUCCCUCUUUGUUUCCUUGUUUGACUUUCUGGGAGAUGUCAUCAAUGUUCUCAUGCUUUUCUUUUCUGCUUUUAAAUUCAGUGAUUGUAUUGUAAAUUCCCAAAUGCUUUUUAAAAAUAAUUUUCUUCAGUACCCUGCAUCAUCUUGGUUUCCUCUGAGUUCCUUUCUGGUUCGUUUGUUACCUUUGAUACUGUGAGCUUUUCCCAAUUACCUGGUGAUUCUUGGGUUUUUGUUCUUUUUGUAUGUGCAUUUACAUGACAGAAAUAAACUAAAAAGAUAUAUUGGAAGGCCUUGCUGGAGUGAGGAGGACAGGUCAAAUGGUGGGUUUCACUUAUGGUGAUCGGUUGGUACACCAGCCUUUUUAUUGGCCGACUACCAAAUGUCAGUAUGAGAGAGUAAAGCAACUUAGUUUCUCCACAGAAGAAACUAAAUUCUCCCAUCUUAAGUUGCAUUUUGUGAGCAAGGUGUAGAAAUGAGUCUGACCGUCCACCGUUCAGCCAGAACAUUUAGGCUGAUGCAGCCAAGGUAAUUCAGAUUAGAUGUCUGUAACAUGUACAUCUGCAUUAAAAAAUAGUCUGAAAGUACGUAUACCAAAAUGUUAAACUAGUUAUCUCUUAGUUGUGGAUUCAUGGGUUAUUUAAAUUCUCUUUUUUUCUUAUCUAAAUUUUCUAA
rnacentral:tRNA from 10 species